CCAGCUGGAGCGCGGGGCCCGGGAGAGAGGAGCUGCUGCAGCAGAGGCAGCUGCGGGGAGCUGCCCUCCUGGCCAGGGCAGCAGGUAAACAACAGAGGGCGCCUGGGCCUCAGAGCCCACCCACCCUCAGCCACUGCACCACCGGCCCCCUAGCUUGAUCCCCUCAUCUCUUCUGUUUCUUCCGUGCUGGAGGAAACAGAUGUGAUGACCAGAGGUGCAGCAGCCACCAUGUGACCAUGAGGAGGACAUGUAUAGCUAUGACAGAGCAGGAAAACAGAGAUCCCACGUCCCCAGGGACAUCUUUGAGCUACUGUAUCAGCUCAGGACUGCCUUCUCCCAGACUUCU
rnacentral:lncRNA from 10 species